rnacentral:lncRNA from 12 species
AUGAUGACAGACCAAGGAUCAAAUUUGUGCACUCCUGUGAAGGAAAUUGAAGUAUUAAAGGUUGCACAAAACAAGGAAACAGACGAUGAGAUAGAAGAUCGAUCUGAAGUUACAAAGAGAAAUGAAGUACGUCGCUCUGUCCGUGAACGAGUUCCAACAGAAAGGAUGCUUGCAUAUCAAAGAGAGGAGUCAGAAAAGGCAGAGAGAAAGCUUAUGCAUGCAUAUGAAAAAUGGAAGGAUGAGGCUCGAAAGGCAAGAGGGCAGCUAAAAACAGACAUCCCUGAAGGUCAACUAGCGUCACUUAUAGACACAUUGGAAAACGAAAGAGACACUGUGAUGAAUGCAUACAUAAAGGUUCGAAGUUAUGCAACACCACCCACUGAUACAAGGAGAAGAAUUGAUGCUUGCGAUGCCGUGACAAAGGAUAUUGUAAAGAUUGCUUAUGAGAGAAUCUCAGGUGUGGAUGGAGACUUUGACAGUGAGAGAGUAAGGGGGCGUCUUCGUGAAUUGCUCGAUCGAGAUUAUGCUCGCUCCAUCUACGGUUCUACGGUCUCACAUAUCAGCUCAAGGUCGAGUACGCCCAUAAGUCAACCUUCACUGAACUCCAUCCUGAUGGCUAAGCGAAUAGAGGCAGCGGCAGAGCUUGCAGCAAAGGAAGCAGAAUAUGCAACAAUAAUGGAGGAAAAGGAACAAAGGGAAAAAAUACAACUUCUAGAAGAGAAGCAAAGGAAAGAAAUGGAUGCUCAAAGGAGUGAGUUUGAAAGAUUACAAGCAGUAAAAGAGGUAAGAGCUGCUAAAGCAAGACUAGAAGUGUAUGACAAGGAAGAAACCACUCACCAAAAUGAUGAGCUGCUACAGCCUGUAAGCGUUUCCGCACACAAACCUGUGUAUUCAUCCUCAGUUAAGCCAACACUCAACGAAAGGGUAUCAUCGCCGACCCCCAAUGUGGAUGUGUCUUACCUUGCACAAGCUGUCCAAGACAGUAUAACGUUAAACAGACUUCCUAUGCCAGAGCCUACAGUUUUUACUGGUGACACAAUUCACUUUAUAGAGUGGAAAACGUCAUUCCAAUCACUCAUCGACAAAAGACAUAUUUCCUCAGCAGAUAAGUUAUACUACUUGAAGAAGUAUGUUGCUGGGUCUGCUCUGAAAACCCUAGAAGGCAUCUUUUACAGAAACGAUGAAGAAGCUUACAAGGAUGCAUGGAAAAGACUUCAAGAUCGCUAUGGACAGCCAUUCACUAUUCAAAGAGCAUUCCGGGAGAAACUCGCAAACUGGCCCAGAAUCCAGCCCAAGGACUCUGAAGGACUCCGAAAUUUCUCAGAUUUCCUGACCACAUGUAAUGACGCUAUGCCUCAUGUGAAGGGACUGGAAAUACUGAAUGACUGUGAAGAGAAUAGGAAACUUGUGAGCAAACUUCCUGAUUGGGCGGCUGCCCGCUGGAACCGCCAAGCCACACAAACACUGAGUGAGACACAAGAUUUUCCAUCUUUCCAAGAUUUUGCACAUUUCAUGUCCAUUGAGGCUGAGGUGGCCUGCAACCCAGUCACUUCCUUUCAUGCCCUUCACGUUUCUGAAGCUAAUAAGGAGAAACAUAAUCUCAAGGUUAGUAAGAACAAGGCCAGUGUCUUCCAUACGAAGAUAGUCACACAGCAUGAGAAUCCAAGGCUCACUAGUAAAAUCACUAAACCAUGUCUGUUCUGUCAAGGUAGUGAACAUCAAAUUCAUGAUUGCUCUAAAUUCUCUGCAAGAUCUCUUGAAGAGCGAAGACAGUUCAUAAAGGACACGAAGCUGUGCUAUGGAUGUUUGAGACUUGGUCACAGUGCCAGAGACUGUCGCUCCAGACAUAGCUGUAACACCUGUAAGGGAAGACAUCCAACCUGCUUACACGAUGACGGCUUCAUUAGAAAGGUAAAGUCUUCCUCUGUUCAAGGCCCAGAGAAUGCACACGAAAAGGUCACAACGUCUUUAAGUGUAGAAUCUGGAUGCACAUCUGCUAACACCUCAAUGAUUGUGCCAGUGUGGUUGUCCUCACAAAACAACCCAGUCUCUGAGAAACUUGUCUACGCUCUGUUAGACACACAAAGUGACACUGUCUUCAUUGAAUAUGCUGUAAGUCAAAGUCUAAAGGUUGACUCAUGCCCAGUGACACUUAAGCUCACCACUAUGGUUGGGAAGGAUUCGUUGAUAUCAAGUGAAAGAGUUUCUGGUCUUAGAGUUAGAGGCUUUAAUUCCACAUUAGUACUAGACCUUCCCCCUGCAUAUACUAAAGAAUGUAUUCCUGUGGAUCAUGCCCACAUCCCUACCAGAGAGACAGCCAGGUGUUGGAAACAUCUUGCUCCUCUGACAGAUGAAAUUCCCCCACUUCAAGACUGUGAGGUUGGUUUAUUAAUAGGAUAUAAUUGUUCCAGAGCUUUGGCCCCCAGAGAAGUAAUUCUUGGAGCAGAAAAUGAGCCAUAUGCUGUUCGUACGGAUCUCGGAUGGAGCAUUGUGGGCCCUUCCUUGACACAUCAUGAGUCACAAAGCAGUCUUACUAUGUGUCACAGAGUAUCUAUUAAGGAGAUUCCUGCUGUAACGCCAACUGAUGUGAUCAAAGUGCUGGAGUCAGAUUUCAAGGAUACUGAAGAAAACACAAGAGUAGUGUCUCAAGAGGACAUUAUGUUCUUGAACAAACUGGGAGAAAAUAUCAGGAUGAACAAAGACAGCCACUUGGAAAUGCCUCUUCCAUUCAAGAGAAGACCCUGUCUUCCAAAUAAUGAGCCUCUUGCGGUCACAAGACUUCAGCAUCUAAAGCGGAGAUUAAUGAAGAACCAGGAGUACAGAGAGCAUUAUGUUAAGUUCAUGGAAGAUGUAAUUGAGAAUGGUGAUGCAGAAGGAGUCAUUGAUGAAGGGAGAGAAGGAGAAAAAUGGUACAUCCCUCAUCACGGAGUGUAUCACUCGAAGAAGCCAGGGAAAUUACGUGUGGUUUUCGACUGCUCCGCCAGAUUCAAGGGAACCAGCUUAAACGACCAUCUUCUUGCAGGCCCUGACCUAAUGAACAGCCUGACUGGCAUUCUUCUGCGGUUCAGACAGUACCCUGUAGCCCUGAUGUGUGAUAUUGAGAGGAUGUUCCACCAGUUCCAUGUUGACGAAGCAGAUCGUGAUUACUUGCGCUUUCUAUGGUGGAGAAAUGGAGAUUUCAACUCACAGCCUCAAACGUUCCGCAUGAGAGUACAUCUGUUUGGUGCCUCGUCGUCCCCCGGAUGUGCUAAUUAUGGACUAAAGCAUCUUGCAAGAGAAGGUGAACAUCUGUAUCCCCUAGGUUCACAAUUUAUUAUGCAGGAUUUCUACAUGGAUGAUGGAGUCUCCAGUGUGGAAAGUGCAGAGAAGGCCAUCAAGUUGGCUCGAGAAGCUCGCCAACUUUGUGCACUAGGAGGCUUAAGGUUGCAUAAAUUUGCAUCCAAUGACAAGGCAGUUUUGGAGACAAUACCGCCCUCUGAGUGUGCUGUAGAUGUUACAUCUGUCAAUCUCUCCCUCACUGACCAGUCCUUGGAAAGAGCCUUGGGCAUUUACUGGCAUCUGAAACACGAUCAUUUCAAAUUUCGUGUCAUUAUUAAAGACCAGCCAGCAACCCGUAGAGGUAUACUGUCUACUGUGGCCUCGUUGUUCGACCCCUUAGGGUUUCUCGCACCAUUUUUGCUCAAAGGAAAGACUGUUCUUCAAGAAAUGUGCCGAAAUGGCAUGGGCUGGGACGAUCCCUUACCUGAUGGUUUGCAGUCAGGUUGGGAGCACUGGAAGACCGAUCUUCUUAACUUGGAGAAAAUUCAGGUGCCUCGUUGUAUUGUGCCUGCUGGGUUUGGGAGAAUCACGAUGAGAGAGAUUCAUCACUUCUCAGAUGCCAGCAUGAGAGGAUAUGGCCAGUGCUCAUACCUUAGGCUGAAGAAUGAGCAAGGUGACAUCCAUUGUUCUUUGCUAAUGGCAAAAUCUAGAGUAGCCCCGCUUAAGGUCACCACAAUUCCUCGGUUAGAGUUGACUGCUGCGGUUGUGUCAGUUGCAGUGAAUGAUAUGUUGAAGGAAGAAAUGAACCUUGCAGAUGCAGAGGCAUAUUUCUGGACGGACUCUCAAGUAGUGUUAGGCUAUAUAAACAAUGAAGCUCGCCGCUUCCACACGUUUGUCGCAAAUCGAGUUCAGAGAAUUCAUCGCACCACAACUCCUCAACAGUGGCGAUACAUUCCAUCAGAUGAAAAUCCAGCCGACUAUGCAUCACGAGGUCUGAGUGUUAAUGAUCUGGUCACUUCCUGCUGGUUCAGAGGACCGGACAUCUUGUGGGAACGGCAAAUACCUUCCCCUGUGGAUGUUAACACACAACUUCCAAUCGGUGACCCAGAGGUCAAGAAGGCUCAAACGCUGAACACGCAAACAUUACAGUAUUCCUGCUUAUCCAACCGUCUCACAAAGAUUUCCUCAUGGUCCAAAGUCAUCCAAGCAGUUGCACGUCUACUUCGUCGUGUCAGGAAGGACAAGUCCAGUGACCACAGUACUGUGGCAGAACGUGAGGAUGCUAAGUGCAUCAUCAUCAAGGACUUACAGAGUCAGAUAUAUGCAGAAGAAAUAGCCUUACUCCGUAAGGGCAAACAGCUCCCACGCAGUAGCAGGCUAUAUAAUCUAGACGCCUUCGUUGAUCACAACGGAUUGCUCAAGGUGGGAGGAAGGCUUUGUGAUGCUUCUGCCCCUAACUCUGUUAAACAUCCAGUGAUAAUUCCAAAGGAACAUCAUCUUACAAAACUUCUGAUCGCUGAUUGUCAUGAAAAAACGGCACAUCAAGGAAAGGGCUUGACUAUCAAUGAGAUCAGAUCAAAAGGAUUUUGGAUAACAGGAGUAAACAGGACUGUAGCAUCCUUUAUACGUCAGUGUGUGAGAUGUCGCAAGCUUCGCAGACCCACCGAAGAGCAAAAAAUGGCUAACCUGCCCUCAGAGCGCAUAGAUCCAUCCCCUCCAUUCACAUACUGUGGAAUGGAUGUUUUUGGUCCGUUCAUCACCAAACAAGGUCGUAAAUCGUACAAGAGGUAUGGACUUCUCUUUACUUGUUUCUGUUGCAGAGCCAUCCAUAUUGAGAUGCUGGAUGACAUGUCCACAGACGCCUUUAUCAAUGGCCUGCGUUGUUUCAUCGCUAUUAGAGGAGCAGUUCAUCAAAUAAGGUGUGACCAAGGCAGUAAUUUCAUUGGAGCCAAGAAUGAGCUCACCAAAGCCAUGGAAGAGAUUGACACCAACCGUCUGGUAACGUUCUUAGCAGAAAAACAAUGUGACUUUGUCUUCAACGCACCCCACGCAAGUCACACUGGCGGAGUUUGGGAGAGACAGAUUAGAACUGUGAGAAGUGUUCUUCGUUCCACUCUGUCUCAGUCAUCUGGAAGACUAGAUGAUUCUUCUCUGCGAACCUUUUUCUAUGAGGCCAUGGCCAUUGUAAAUAGCCGUCCACUCACUGUAGAUAAUUUAAGUGAUCCCUGCAGUCCUGAGCCUCCAACCCCUAAUCACCUCCUCACCCUGAAAACUACCCAAGCCUUACCACCCCCUGGCAGGUUUGUCAGAGAAGACAUAUAUGCUCGCAAGAGAUGGCGCCAUGUCCAAUACUUAGCGGAACAGUUUUGGGGACGUUGGCGCAAGGAGUAUGUGUCUAACAUUGCAACAAGACAAUGCUGGCUUUCACCAAGAAGGAACAUGCAAGCUGGAGAUAUAGUCUUGGAGAAGGCAGACGAUCUGCCCAGGAAUGAGUGGCGCUUGGCAGAAGUUAUUGAGACUGUCGUUGACAAAGAUGGUUUGGUGAGAAGAGUGAAGAUACGUUUUGGAGACAGAAAUCUGGGAAAGGAUGGUAAACGUCUGAACAAACCAUCAUUAGUUGAACGCCCAGUGCAGAAGCUGGUCCUGCUGCUGGAGGCAUCCUGA